CUCCCAGUCAAGCCCUGCCCUCCUGACCUUGUCCUGCCCUGGUGCUGCCAGUCGGGUGGAGAUGUCUAGGGGCCAGCUGGUCUCCUGGCAACUGAAGUCCGCGCUUCCCUUCCGUUCACUCAUUCCUUCCUUUCCUCAUGCAGGAGGCGCUGCAAGGCUCCGUGCUCCUGGAGCUUCGAGUCUAUGGUAUGAGUUAAACAGAAGGGUAUCUCCUCCAUCAGAUCUACAGGAGGGUGUCUGCUCCAUCAGACCUGGAGCUUCCAAGGCAUUUUACCCGAAGCUCCAGCACCUGGCCCAAGGCUGGGCUGUGCUGUGUCCUCAGUGAAAGAAUGGAUGAGUCACAGCUGAAUGACUGAAGAGCUGAACCAAUGGGAAAACUGAUGCUCAGAGGCUUGAGCAACCUAGGCCAGGACCUGUCCUUAGAGGCAGAAGCAGGACUCAGAGGAAGAGCACCCUGACCACAAAGCCCCAGGUGACUUACACUGCAGGGAUGGCGCUCUCCGGGGUGUGCAGGGUGGCAGAGGUGCCUCUGCAGAGAGAUCCC
rnacentral:lncRNA from 1 species